GACGAACGCUGGCGGCGUGCUUAACACAUGCAAGUCGAACGAUGAACCCGGAGCUUGCUCCGGUGGAUUAGUGGCGAACGGGUGAGUAACACGUGAGUAACCUGCCCUUGACUCUGGGAUAACUGCGGGAAACUGUAGCUAAUACCGGAUACGACCUUCGGCGGCAUCGCCAGGGGGUGGAAAGCAUUUCGGUCAAGGAUGGACUCGCGGCCUAUCAGCUAGUUGGUGAGGUAACGGCUCACCAAGGCGACGACGGGUAGCCGGCCUGAGAGGGUGACCGGACACACGUGGACUGAGACACGGCACAGACUCCUACGGGAGGGAGCAGUGGAGAAUAUUGCACAAUGGGCGCAAGCCUGAUGCAGCAGCGCCGCGUGAGGGAUGACGGAAUUCGGGUUGUAGACCUUUUUUAGUGGGGAAGAAGCGAGAGUGACGGUACCAGCAGAAAAAGCACCGGCUAACUACGUGCCAGCAGCCGCCGACG
rnacentral:rRNA from 1 species